rnacentral:rRNA from 1 species
CCGUCAAUUCCUUUGAGUUUCAACCUUGCGGUCGUACUCCCCAGGCGGAGUGCUUAAUGCGUUAGCUGCGGCACUGAGUCCCGGAAAGGACCCAACACCUAGCACUCAUCGUUUACGGCGUGGACUACCAGGAUAUCUAAUCCUGUUUGCUCCCCACGCUUUCGAGCCUCAGCGUCAGUUACAGACCAGAGAGCCGCUUUCGCCACCGGUGUUCCUCCAUAUAUCUACGCAUUUCACCGCUACACAUGGAAUUCCACUCUCCUCUUCUGCACUCAAGUUCCCCAGUUUCCAAUGACCCUCCCCGGUUGAGCCGGGGGCUUUCACAUCAGACUUAAGGAACCGCCUGCGCUCGCUUUACGCCCAAUAAAUCCGGACAACGCUUGCCACCUACGUGUUACCGCGGCUGCUGGCACGUAGUUAGCCGUCCCUUUCUGGUAAGAUACCGUCACAGUGUGAACUUUCCACUCUCACACUCGUUCUUCUCUUACAACAGAGCUUUACGAUCCGAAAACCUUCUUCACUCACGCGGCGUUGCUCGGUCAGACUUCCGUCCAUUGCCGAAGAUUCCCUACUGCUGCCUCCCGUAGG